AUGGUUUCUAAGGCAUCGAAAUAUACGUCCCCCGAAUUUGUGGUUUCCUGAUCAUAAAUGUUCUUAGAAGCCCAAAAUUGUAGCCUGAGCGCGCGGCACUCUCGAUUGAUUCCAUGGUCUGGUCUUCUGCGAAUCGCAAUCCGACGGUGGCGAUGGCAUCGGCGCAGAACCAAUCGGCAAUGUGGAUCUCUUCGACGAAUAUUUCCAACGAGCCGAUUUGGACCGCAAUGGCCGGAUUAGUGGCAAUGACGCUAUGGCUUUCUUCCAAGGCUCCGGUCUCCCCAAACAGGUCCUUGCUAAGAUAUGCACAUGCAGACCAGAGGGAGACUGGUUUACUUGGCCGGGCAGAGUUUUACAAUGCCCUUAGACUAGACACUGUGGCACAAAGUGAGAGAGAACUUACGCUAGAAAUGUUGAAGGCAUCAUUAUAUGGCCCGGCUGCAGCUAAAAUACCUGCACCCAAGAUAAAUCUUGCAGCAACUCCUGCCCCUCAGUUCAAUUCUGCUGCAGCAGCACCUGCCACCCAGGGUGGUGCUGUGACUCCGACAUCCUCGUAAAAUCUUGGGUUUAGGGGACCGCAAGUACCACCUCAGUAUAGUUCUUUUGGAGAAGCACCUGCCACUCGGGGUGGUGCUGUCACUCCAACAUCCUCCCAAAAUCUUGGGUUCAGGGACCACAAAUACAAUCUCAGUGUAAUUCUGCUCCAACAGCUCAUGAGGGUGGUGCUGUUACUCUAACAUCCUCCCAUAAUCUUGGGUUCAGGGUAUUACCUCCAAGUGUGAGUGUGAACCAGAAAAUUUUCAUUUCUCAAGAUGGCAAGUCAUUUAGGUCUCCAGUGCCUCCAUCUAGUCCUGAUUCCCAGCCCACACAGGGUGUUGCUGCCCAAAGCUUUCCCGGGGGAGGUUCAGUGGGUGGUCCUCAACCACAAAACUCAAGCAUGGUGAACGAUUAGGUUAGUGGAAGGGCAGAUGGUGCAACGACCUUGAUACCCUCGCAAGUUGUAAACAAAAGGAUCACUCCUGCAACAGAGGAUGUAUUUGGGCUGGAAACAUCAGGGCCAACAGCUUCCCUACCAACUAGGCCACAGGCAGGUUCUAGGAUCAGACCACCAGGACCACUGGCUAAGGAUUCCAAACCAUCAAAUAUAUCUGGGAAUGGCUAUGCUCCCGACUCAUCUUUUGGAGAUGAUGUGUUUUCUACAACCCCACCUCAACCAAAGCAGAAUUUUCCUCCUGGCAGCAUACCCGUCUCUUCAACCAUUGCGCCAGUAUUUGGUGGAACCCAGUCUUCAACUAGCCCAAGUACCCAGGUUGAUGGCUAGCCUCAGCAGGCCCAGUCAUUUGCAAAAGCCAACCAGCAGGCCUCAGCUCAGACUAGUGCUACUGGAGUUUCACCUAGAGCUGGGAACUCUGCUUCUAGUCAGUCCCAUAUAUCAUGGCCUAGGAUGACUCAAACUGAUGUUCAAAAGUACACCAAUAUUUUUGUGAAAGUUGACACAAACAGAGACCUGCAUCUGGUAUUCAUCCAUCAGACAAAAUUGAAUAAACAUCUUGUAAAUCAAAUGCGUACAGAGGAGGUUAACUCGCUGAGCUCAAAGUUCAAAGAAGCAACCGAAGCUGAUAAAAAGUACCAUUGAAGCACGGACCCCAAUUUUUCUUUGCUGAUCUUUGCUUGGUUCAAACAAGAACACUGAGUUUUGCCGGUGUUAGUCCAAUCAGACCAUUCAUAUUUAUCGCUCAUUGCAGUUCAGCCAUCAAACUAUUGCAUAUUUUUGUUGUGUCGAAUGUUCAAACUAUUGUUUAAUUUCUAAGUUUAUGAUAUAAAGGCAAAUUUCAAGAUCCGCUGGACUUGUAAAUCAAGUUUUGUCCAUAACUUGUGCUUUAUAAUGUAUAAACAAUACUAAGAUAAUAAAACCCUUGCCUGUUAAUCA